rnacentral:rRNA from 1 species
UAUGACUUUCAAUGUAUUAGGUUUAUCCAACUCGUUGAAUAGUUUAAUGGUAUAUUUCUCGGUAUUCUAGGCUCGGCCUUACAAUAUAACAAACAAGUUGACCU